GUAAUGGAGCUGAAUUUUUUAACGUUACCUUUGUUAAAUGUUGCUGUUGUCCCUGGCUUCAUAUGAGUAGAGGAAAAAUCCGCUAGCUGCUAGGCUAGUUUAUACAAUGUAAAAUGCCAUAGGCUUGUGCUAAAAACGUGCAAGGUUGCUAAAUCAAGCACGACAUCACUGAGGUAAGUUUGUUUUUCAUGCUUUAUUUAUGCGUCCACAACACUGAAGUGACGUCACACUAUCACAAACUUUUCGCAGGGGUUCUGUGCCCUGGUUAUUCGCCUGUCCGUAAGUCGCCUGAUCUCUACAGUUUAAAUAUUGUUUUGUUCCAGGAAAACCCCGCGUGAAGUAUGAAAGAUCCAAACUUUUCCUCGUUGCGAUUUUCACCUUUUAAUUUCUGAGGAUGUGCACAAAGACGCAGCACACUAGAGGCAGCCAACAUGCGCACAUACUGUAUAUGUGUAGUUAACGGCAAGUAUAUCUGCAGCCUGUUCUUUGAACAGCUUGAAGUGUGUCAGAUGCUUCCUGUGACCAAACCUGACACCUGAAUUAGAUUUUUGGCAGAGUGUGAAUCUACAGGGUCUGAAUGACUCUGUCUCUUUAUUGCAGCCAGUCAAUGAUCAAUUAAUCGAUCAAGGCUUUUUUUCUUUGUCUCCUCUGAAAGUAAACUAAACGUCUUUGGGUUUUGGACUUUUGGUACGAUAUGAAAGCAUCAAAUUGAGCUUUGGGAAACUAAGAUGAGCAUUUUCAGUAUAAGUCAGAUUAAUCGAUGAAGAUUUUGCAGCCUGACUUUGCUUGCUUUAAAAUUAAAAUGUCAUUUUGUCUAAUGGACCUGUGCAGCUAUAGUGCAGAGGUGCAUUUUGACACAAAGUCCAGCUUUACAGGGUCAUUAAAGCAGCUACAUAUGUGUAAACCAGUGUUUAUCUAACCUGCAACCAUCAAUGAAUACUCUGAGAUAAACAGACCUAAAUUACCAAACGUUUCCAUGAUUAUAAUCCUGAUUCUUGACGUAAAACAGAGAAACUUAAAGCCCAGCUCAGAUUUGUGAAUGGCAGAAUUAUUAGUGCAAAAUUUAGAUGGCAGACACAUCAAUGUGACACAGAAACAUGUAAAGAUCUGCUGUAACGCGCAGCUUCAGUGUAAAGCCACAUGGAUUGUUCCCGUUCAUUUUCAUUGGUGCGACAGCUGUGUGUGUGUGUGUGUGUGUGUGUGUGUGUGUGUGUGUGUGUGUGUAUGGCUUAGACACAAAUGUGAAUCAACCAAUGCUUAGUACAGGAAUUGGCAGUCAGUCUGUAAAUCAGCAUUUAAAUUCAGUUUCUAAAAAUCCUCUUAGCAAAGACUUGAUGUGGAAACAUUAAUCGAACCAAACGGUGAUGAUCAGAUGAUCAGAUGAUCAGACAAGACGCAGGGACGGAGAGAAAAAACAAACGUACAAACUGUUGCAUAUAUUCGCCACAGGAGCCUGAAGCUGUUUGUGCUAUUGCUGUGUGAGCUAGUUUGGACUACAGUCUACAGUACGGAAUACUGCUCCACCCAGUGUGUGUGUGUGUUUACAUGCUCAUAGUCUCUGUCGUAGUUAUAGGAAACAUCCGCCCUGGUAAAAUCUGAACACUUAAAAACGUGAAUACAGUCGGUGGAAAUAAAACAUGGUCCGUUACGAAGUUCACAGAGGAAUUCAGAGGUGUAGGUGAGGUUUUAGGAGGACUGAAGCAUCAUAGUCACGUCACACACACACACAAAAUGUAAUGGUGCAUUCAGGCGCUCUUUGUCAACUCUGAAUGCCUGAAAUCGGUUUACCGCUUAUAAACUUUACUGUAUUAGCUGAUUUGACUUUUUUCUGGGUCAGAAUUU